AGUGUUAGGAACUGCUGUUUGCA
rnacentral:piRNA from 1 species